rnacentral:lncRNA from 1 species
UGAGAAUAAAUUAAGAUUGGGGUGGAGGGAGGAGAAGAAGAACAAGAGAAAAAGUGGCGUUGUAGAUAAAGAUGAACAGAUGCAUCGGCCGUUGUACAAUAAGAUAAGAAGCAAGAGGAGAAGAAAUAUUCGUUCCAUGAGGAUGGGAUCGGGAUGGAUUGAGGCCUUGAGGGAGAGAUGGGACCAUGCUGAUGGCAAUAGUGAUAGAAAUAGGAAAGAGAGGAGGUUUUGUAUAGCGAUAAAAGAUGCCCAAUUUUUUUCACCCCUUUCUAUUUCGAAGCAUUAACGUACCCUAAGUUUACUCCCACUUUG